rnacentral:rRNA from 1 species
ACAGGUAGGCGAGGAGAAAAUCCUCAGGUGCAAGUGAGAACCCUCGUUUAGGAACUCGGCAACUUGACCCCGUAACUUCGGAAGAAGGGGUGCUCGAUUUUGUGUAGGGGUUUACCCCCGAAGCAUCAUCGAGUUGCAAUAAAGAGGCCCAAGCGACUGUUUACUAAAAACACAGGACUCUGCAAAGUCGAAUACGACGUAUAGGGUCUGACUCCUGCCCGGUGCCGGAAGGUCAAAGGGAGAGGUUAGCCGCAAGGCGAAGCUUCGAGCUCAAGCCCCGGUAAACGGCGGCCGUAACUAUAACGGUCCUAAGGUAGCGAAAUUCCUUGUCGGGUAAGUCCCGACCUGCACGAAUGGAGUAACGAUUUGGGCGCUGUCUCAACGAGGGGCACUGCGAAUUUGUGGUACCGGUGAAGACGCCGGUUGCCCGUGGCUAGACGAAAAGACCCCGUGCACCUUUACUGCAUCUUAGUAGUGAAUGUUGCCGCAAUCUGCGCAGGAUAGGUAGGAGACUUUGAACCCGGGUUUUUGGAUUCGGGGGAGUCGACGGUGAGAUACUACCCUGAUUGCUGCGACGUUCUAACUGAGCCCUGUAAUCCAGGGCCAGGACACUGCUAGGUGGGUAGUUUGACUGGGGCGGUCGCCUCCUAAAUUGUAACGGAGGCGCGCGAAGGUUCGCUCAGGCUGUUUGGAAAUCAGCCGUAGAGUGCAAAAGCACAAGCGAGCUUGACUGCGCGACUUACAAGUCGAGCAGGUGGGAAACCAGGCUUUAGUGAUCCGGUGGUUCCGCGUGGAAGGGCCAUCGCUCAACGGAUAAAGGUACGCCGGGGAUAACAGGCUGAUCUGAGCCAAGAGUUCACAUCGACGCUCAGGUUUGGCACCUCGAUGUCGGCUCAUCGCAUCCUGGAGCUGUAGCAGGUUCCAAGGGUCCGGCUGUUCGCCGGUUAAAGCGGUACGUGAGCUGGGUUUAGAACGUCGCGAGACAGUUCGGUCUCUAUCUGCCAUGGGCGCAGGAAAUUUGAGUGGGGUUGACCUUAGUACGAGAGGACCGGGUUGAACGCACCUCUAGUGUACGAGUCGUCGUGCCAACGGCAGUGCUCGGUAGCUACGUGCGGACGGGAGAAACGCUGAAAGCAUCUAAGCGUGAAACCCUCCACGAGAUGAGAUUUCCCUGGGGCACAAGCCCCCUAAAGGCACCUGGAAGAUGACCAGGUUGAUAGGUCGGGUGUGGACAUGCCGCGAGGUAUGAAGCUUACCGAUACUAAUCUGCCGUGAGGCUUGACC